GGUUCGAUGGCGUAGUUGGUUAUCGCAUCUGUCUAACAUCCUACAUCCAGCGGUACUACACAGAAGGUCCCCAGUUCGAGCCUGGGUCGAAUCA